AUGAUUUUUACCUGUCGCUGAUAAAGGAGACAAGUAGGAAGAAAUUAGAUACAGAUAGGAUUCUAUAAGAUGCAAGAAAUUGGGGUACUCAGAAUGUUAGUUGUUGGAGAUUUUCCUUGUGGAGUGCCUGAUAAUACUCCUUGAUAAAGGAGGAUGCAUGUCUAUUCAUAUGUGAAUAAAACUUAAUUAGAUCCAUGGGUGGGGCAAUUAAUCUUUUUUUGUGGCUCAUCUACACCACCAGCUUGCUGAUAUGGGGAUCUGACAGGUGGGUGAAAAUGGGUUGUGGUACUGAUGGUGGCAGCAGCAAAGGAUAAUGAACGACAGGGCUCCAGAAAGUAUUUUUUUAUUGACUUGUACAAGAAUUGAACACCCCCCCCCCCGCGUGGGACUCUUGGAUCCCC